UGCGGGCGACGUGGCGCUUUGUUACCGGAUUGCGGGCCACGUUAAACAUUCCGCUAAAGAGGUCGAGGAUAGGAGACC
rnacentral:ncRNA from 2 species